rnacentral:rRNA from 1 species
UUAAUUGAUUUCUUCGGAAUGAAGUUUUUGUGACUGAGUGGCGGACGGGUGAGUAACGCGUGGGUAACCUGCCUCAUACAGGGGGAUAACAGUUGGAAACGACUGCUAAUACCGCAUAAGCGCACGGGAUUGCAUGAUCCAGUGUGAAAAACUCCGGUGGUAUGAGAUGGACCCGCGUCUGAUUAGCCAGUUGGCGGGGUAACGGCCCACCAAAGCGACGAUCAGUAGCCGACCUGAGAGGGUGACCGGCCACAUUGGGACUGAGACACGGCCCAAACUCCUACGGGAGGCAGCAGUGGGGAAUAUUGCACAAUGGGGGAAACCCUGAUGCAGCGACGCCGCGUGAGCGAAGAAGUAUUUCGGUAUGUAAAGCUCUAUCAGCAGGGAAGAAGAAUGACGGUACCUGACUAAGAAGCACCGGCUAAAUACGUGCCAGCAGCCGCGGUAAUACGUAUGGUGCAAGCGUUAUCCGGAUUUACUGGGUGUAAAGGGAGUGCAGGCGGUACGGCAAGUCUGAUGUGAAAUCCCGGGGCUCAACCCCGGUACUGCAUUGGAAACUGUCGGACUAGAGUGUCGGAGGGGUAAGUGGAAUUCCUAGUGUAGCGGUGAAAUGCGUAGAUAUUAGGAGGACACCAGUGGCGAAGGCGGCUU